CUAUGAGAAGUAAUGACAUGGAUUACACGCCUGUUCAUAAUUCCAACUUCCUAUGAUUUGUUGUGAUAAAAUACAAUAGUAAUAACAAAUAGCGAUGAUAAGUGUGUGGGAAGCGCUUGAGCGAAGGUUAAAACUAUGGUGUAUAUACUAAGUAUGAACAAGCUAGUCUCC
rnacentral:ncRNA from 1 species